AGACAUGAUUUUUAAAAGAUCAUUUUAGAUAAAUAAAACUUGAGCUAGCAAGAGAGGCUCUUUCCAGAUGUCCACCCACGAAACCCCAGGUGCAAGUGAAUCAGCAGACGGUGUCCUCUCAUCCGAGACAGUGCAGGAUCCAUGUGUCCACAGGCAGCCAGGCAGUGGCUGAGCUCGCAGCCAUGCUUCCUUCAGAUGUGGCCGCGCUGGGGCUGAUUCAGGGAGAAACACUGCCUCGUACUGAGUCAUGAGCCUAUCCUGGAACUUCUCUGGGCUUUGCUUGGAUGACUUGCCCGGCGUCCAUGGUCCAGACCUUCCCCAGCAGGCAGCAGAGUCCAAUGUGGCAGAACAGAUCAGGAAGAGCAGGAGCAAGUGAGGAUGGAGACGGACUUUGCAGAAUGGAAGAGAGGCAAAGACAUGAUUAGAAACAAUCUACAUAAUGAGGAGUCACUUUUGGGAGUUGUUUUAAGGCAGAGUAUCACAUCGCAUCAAAACUGCUCCGUCUCCUGCCACUCCACGUGCAAUGCCAUGAACUUAAAUAAAUUGCUGGUAAGAGGAAGCAAAUGCUGUGACCAGGCAACUGCUGCAAACCAAUGGGCUUUGGGGAACUGUGCUUCCCUUCAGAAAGGAAAGAGUAUUUGAGGAUGACAAGGAAGCAUCUCUGUCUGCCUUUCUGACUACCUAAAAAGUACUACAACCUCUGACUCUGUUUCUAAGGUGGAUUUUUCGUACUCAUGCUUCCUAGCGACUUGGUGAGGAUUUUGUUGAGUCAUGGGACAUUUGAGCUUGCCAAGGAUCUUGCUCUAUCUCUCAGACUGGAAUGCAGGCGUGUGAAUACGGCUCACUGCAGUCUCAACCUCCUCGGCUCAAGUGAUUCUCCCUUUUCGGCCUCCCAAACAGCUGGGACCACAGGUUAGAAGAAUCUUGGUCAUCCAGAAAGCUUGCUAUAGCUGCCCAGCAUUUGCCUCCUCCACAAAGAAGGACCAAAAUAACAAGUAGACAAUCACAUGCCAAAUAAAAUGUCUAAGGGAGAGCACUGAAACUCAGCAAAAACGUUAUGAAGACCCUCUGAGGUGCAGAAACUCAGGAAAGCAAAGCAGCCAGCCAGGAUCACCUCAGAGCCAAGAGGGCCACCGCUUGAGGAGGAAAGGUAAGCAGGAGAUGCCCCGCAGGCAACAUUCCCACCACAAAUGCCUGCAAGCCUAGCUGUAGGAGAGCAGUGUUGAGUCCAGUAUAGGAGCUGCCUGGAGUCUCUGCGACCACAUUACUCCAGAGAGACCACUGGGUCCCUCCUUAAUCCCUGGGACCAAGCUGCUGCAGCACAGUGCCAUUCUGAGCACAGAGCCACUGCCAGAAUGCUUCCUGUCUUGGGGCCCCGUAACCUCUGCAUGUCCUCGUCACUGGAGCCCCAGUAUCAUUCCAUCACACCCACACACAAGGCUGCAGGGCCAUGACUGCAGUUGGACCCAGUGGUGCAGCUGUGAACCUAGCGCCUGAGCCCACAUAGUGCAUAGAACUCCAGGAACAGGUGGUCCAGCAAAGUGGGAAGGCUGCCUCUAAGGUAAAGAAAGCGAAGGGGCAUACUCCUCAGAGUCUGAGAGCUGACUGCCAGGGACCUGCUGCUGCCUGCAACCCUGCCUACUCCAGCAGCAGAGCCACAACACACCUGCAUGUCACCGCAUACCCUAGGGGGCUGAGGGUGGCUCUCCUGAGGCUCACUGUAGCUAGCCUCCCCAUCUACUCCAGCAGCAGAGCCACUGCAUGCCCACCACCAAGGAUCCUGAGGACCAGGCCACCCGAGGCUCACUGAUGAUGGCUAAUCCACCAACUCCAGUGAUGAAGCUACCAUGUGCCCCUACCCAAAGGCCCAAGGACUGGCCUGUUUGGGGCCCAACAUCACCGCCAGCAACCUUGCCCCCUUCAGCAGCAAAGCCUUCAUGCACCACCCCAAAUGCCUGAGGAUCAGCUCUUCUGAGUCCUGCCACCACCAGUGACUCUAAAAACUGUGAGCUCAAAGAAGUAGAGAGAAGAAUACAGUUACUAGAGGCUGGGAAGGAUGACGAAGACAGGACUGGGAGGAUGAAUAGGGAGAGGUUGGUUAACAAACACAAAAUUACAACUAGAUAAGAAGAAAAGUUCUAGUGUUCUAAAGCACUGUAGGAUGACUACAGUUAACACGAACUUAUUGUAUAUUUCCAAAUAGCUAGAAGAAACUAUUUUGGAUGUUCCCAGCACAAAGAAAUGAUAAAAGCUUGAGGUGAUGGAUAUGUUAAUUACCCUGAUUUGGUCAUUACACAUUCUAUACAUGUAUGGAAAUAUCAUUCUGUACCCCAUAAAUAUGUACAAUUUUUAUGUGUCAAUUAAAAAUAACAAAAAAGGGUCUGCAUUAACAUGGCUUCAAAUUAGACUUGAGAAAAUUUUGAAAAACAUUUAUUAUAUUUAAUACAUAUAGAGCUCCAAAAUCUGCAGCUCAUUUAUCAGAGGGCACAUAACUUUGUUGGAUGUAUUGUUAAAUGCAAGUUACAAGUUUCUCUUCUUCUAAAUUAUCAAGCAUAUGAACUCCGCCCUCCUCAUUAAAGUUGAUUUAAACAUAGAGACUUAUACAGGUUAUAUGGAAUUUAGUUCCAUGGUUGCUUGAGCCAAAAGAAAGUCAAGAUGGAUGAUCUGUGUUAACUCUAUGCAUCCAUAUGUGUAUUUAUGAAGCUGAGAAGCAAGUCUGAAACUUUAUGUGCCCUUUAAAAGAUAAAAUCUUCUGAGAGAAGCAUAUCCUGCCUCCAUAAAUACUGCACCAAAAGCUUAUGCAUCAUCUAAUAACAAUAAUAAAUAUUUCCAGGUCAAAAACAACCACAAGUUUGCAAUUGAUUUUGACCGUUAUUUCACACUGAAUAACUGCAGGAUGCAAGAAAGCCAGAAUAAUGAUGUAGACCAACAUGCAAAGACAAUUUGCAGUCAAUUUGAAUAGCCUAUUUUCCCUCCAAAUGACUGCAAAGACAGGAUUUUAGGUACUCUAAGGCUGAAGUACUUAAAAUAAAAGAUAGGUUUGAUGGGGAAGACAGGUUAGAAUAAAAUUAAUUUAGAAAUAUUGCAAGUGAUCCUAAAUGCAGUACCAGAAUGAAUAAACAGUAUAUUUUCAAAACAUUUUAACAGUUGUAUUGGAGUAAAAAUAACUAUAAAUAAAGAUAACUCAAGAAUUCUAUAAGCAAGCAUACACAUGAAAUUCAUUUUAUAAGAGGAAAGCUAACUCCAUUUCUCUUGAAAUAUGGACUAGCUUCUUGAAGCAAUUCUAAACACUAAUCUGCCGGAAUGAUGGCUUCAUUGCACAAGAAUUCUGCUCGGUUCCUUGGAAGUCUCCUUGAAGAAGUCAGUCUGAGAAUGGGGGAAUUCCAUUAUUGGUCAGAAGAAUUCUUUGGUCACUAUUGGAAGUGGGUUCAGUUUAGGGUGACUGUUGAUCAACAGGGUUCAUGGGUUUGCUAAAACUCAUUUCAGGCAAGCUUUGGAAGUGCAUUUCGCUUGGUGCUUAUGAGGUUAAAAACAGGAUAGAGGGAAUUUCACAUUAUUGGAGGGCCUGAAAGGGAACUGAUUCCCACAAGAUGCUCAGACAAGAUCAACCCCAGCCCCUUUUCUGGUUUAGCAUUUCUCUGGGCUAUAGAGGUAGAAGAAAAGGCCCUGCAUGGGCCCACGCUACCUGUGCUUGGAGGUUUUAGAUAAUCUUAUUAAAUUGUAGCAAUCUUAAACAGAACUGCAAGGUUGCUUUUAAAACCAGAUCUCAGAUUUCUUUGAGCUAACAAAUGGUAAAAUGUAUCUUUGGUAUUAGAGUGAGAUAAAGGUAGUUAUAACUUUUUUUCUUUUUUACUUAUUUUAUGUUAACAUAUGCAACAAAGGGUACAAAUUGUAGGUACACAGCUCAUUAAAUUUUUAUGUCUGCACAUGCCCAUGAAACCAACACCUAGAGUAAGAAUAGGGAUAAUUUUCUCCUCCUCUGAAAAUUCCCUUGUGCCUUUUCCUCAUCAGUACCUUCAAAGGUAACCACUAUUUUGAUUUUCAUUACCAUAAAUGAGUUAUACUUGUUUUUGAAAAGAUUAUUUGAAAUGUGUAAUAUAAAUAUUAGCAGUUAUUUAUCUUACAGAAGUAUCACUGAGAAUUCAUUUCUUCUCUCCUUCAUUUAUUCAUUUGUUCCAAACACUGUCUAGUACCAACAUUGUCCACCUGGCAUUGAGAAUACAAUAUUGAAAAAAGAGUCACUGCCUGCCCUCAGGAAAAAAUCAGUGUAUUUGAAAGAAUACACACAAGUAAACAGGCAGUUAUGGCAAAAUGUGGUAAAAGUUGCAAAAUAGAGAAGUGUCAGAUGCGAAGAGAAAAGGGUGUAUGACAUAGACUUGGGUGGUCAGUAGUGGUUUCUGGAAUUAAUGACAUUUAGACUGAAACUGGAAGGAUAUGAGUAAGGGCUAAUCGGACGGAGAUGAAGAGAUACAGAAGCAGAAGGAACAGUAGGAACAAAUGCUCAGAGGCAAAAGAAAGCUUUGAAUAUUUGAGGAGCUGAGAAGCAAAACCACAAAAAAUAACCAUCCCUUGAUUACACAAGCGACCUGGGGUCAGAUCCUGAAGGACUUUGCAGAUCAUUUUUCCACUUGCAGACUUUGUACUUGACUUUAAGAGCCAUGGAGAGCCACUGAGGCAUUUCAGCAAGGGACUGUCAUCAUCAGAUUGGUAUUUGUUUUGAAGUAGCACAUGUAAGAGAAAAUGACAAUAUGGAUGAAUAAAGAGUUUGAAAAACAA